GUUGCUAUAGUUAAUUUGGAGUUAGGAAGGAGAGUACACUGAGAGGACUGUUCUCUGUAUGUCUUACUUGUAAGAACUCAAUCAAUGUAGUGGAAUCCUUUCAAUCUAAGGUUGAUUAAAAGAAGACUGGACGUAGGUAGGUUGGCCGAACCAAUUUAAACAACAAUGUGAAUCUCUCUCUCCCUACACUUUUACAUUAUUUUUCAUUCUUUAUUGAUUGCAUUCCAAGAAAUCUCAAAAGAUUUUGAAAUUUUUUUUAAAGAACAUAUUUUUAUAAAGGGAAACCAAUUUACCCC
rnacentral:lncRNA from 1 species